UGACCCGAAAGAUGGUGAACUAUGCCCGAACAGGGUGAAGCCAGGGGAAACCCUGGUGGAAGCCCGAAGCGAUUCUGACGUGCAAAUCGAUCGUCUGAUUUGGGUAUAGGGGCGAAAGACUAAUCGAACCAUCUAGUAGCUGGUUCCCUCCGAAGUUUCCCUCAGGAUAGCUGGAACCCGUGUGUGCAGUUUUAUCAGGUAAAGCGAAUGAUUAGAGGUCUUGGGGUUGAAACAACCUCAACCUAUUCUCAAACUUUAAAUAGGUAAGAAGUCCGACUUGCUUAGGUGAAGCCGGACGUCGAAUGCAGGGUUCCUAGUGGGCCAUUUUUGGUAAGCAGAACUGGCGAUGCGGGAUGAACCGAAAGCCGGGUUAAGGUGCCAAAGUCGACGCUCAUCAGACCCCACAAAAGGUGUUGGUUGAUCCAGACAGCAGGACGGUGGCCAUAAAAGUCGGAACCCGCUAAGGAGUGUGUAACAACUCACCUGCCGAAUCAACCAGCCCUGAAAAUGGAUGGCGCUCAAGCGUCGCACCCACACCCGGCCGUCGGGCCGAGCUGGCUGGCCCGACGUGUAGGAGGGCGCAGCGGUAGUGUUGCAGCCUAAGGCGCGAGCCUGGGUCGAACUGCCGUU
rnacentral:rRNA from 1 species